GAACUCCUUGGUUCUUGUGGGACAUUGUUGUAUGUAUGUAUGUAUGAAAUGUUGAGACGGCGCGCAAGUGUUGAGGUGGCAAGAUGACAGUUUAACUCCUCACCGGGGUUAUCUCCGAUUUGGGCUGAUAGCAGACGUUGCUCAGGGUUACAUUUGAGAUUGGACUGCUGCAAGUGUUUGAAUUCCGCAAGGUCAUCUGUAAGUGUGCCAUUCUUCCCGGUGUUAGUUCUGGGUCUUUGGUAUGAGUGCCUCGGCAGGAGGUCUGAGAUUGAAGCUUAUCGCAUGCAUUUGAAACAAGCAUUUCUGGA
rnacentral:lncRNA from 1 species